ensembl:lncRNA
GAAUUUGGGAGGCUUUCUGUAAUCACAGGGCAUCUUACAAUUACUGUCGGCCAGGCAGCUGCCUUUAAGUAUGUCAUCAACUGCGACUGUGCUGAGCAGAGCUAUGAAAUAGGAGCGGGGCAGGUGCACAGCCGUUAUCGCGAGAGUAUUAGCAGGAAACCCGGAAAGCGACCGUUAGAGAUCCCGCUGUGCCAAUGGUCAGCCUAGCAGUGGUGGGACUCGCGGCAGAAAGUGUGGUGAGAGGCAGAUUACAGCCUUCUCCCCGGGGCCCUCCAGGUGCUCUGGCCUCAGGCCAGCAGGUGAACUGGGGGGCCGUGGGGACAGGCCAGGGGCUGUGUCUCUCACACGGCUGCCUGUUGGUCGGGUCCAAGCCUGGAAGUGACCGUGAACCUCUUCCCGCUCCUCGCCUGCGAGACUUGAUGGCGACGUUAGUCGUCUCCACUGGUCUCCGUCCACAGAAGCCCCAGCAGCUGAAGGAUACACACACUGCCAUUCAGAUGCUGUGGUGCACAAACGUUACUCUGGUCCAUGUUCUCUUGCUCACUGCUGCCUCGUUGACAUGAAGAGAUGGUCAGGCGCAUCCUCCUGUGACCUGGAAUAAACUCCAGAAGAGGGCAGGAACUUUGCCAACUUCUGUAUCCACGGCACCUAGAACAGUGGCACAUAGGAGCAUCUGUCCGUAUUUGUGAACAUGAGGAUGUGUGGCCAUGGAGAAACUGAGAUAGCUGAACCAUAGUCCUCACUUUUUCCGUAAUGUCAGAUUCACACUACAACUAACCUUAUUGCUUCAGAGGUGUUUUAC